rnacentral:rRNA from 1 species
UACGGGGGGGGGCAAGCGUUGUUCGGAAUUACUGGGCGUAAAGGGCUCGUAGGUGGCCAACUAAGUCAGACGUGAAAUCCCUCGGCUUAACCGGGGAACUGCGUCUGAUACUGGAUGGCUUGAGUUUGGGAGAGGGACGCGGAAUUCCAGGUGUAGCGGUGAAAUGCGUAGAUAUCUGGAGGAAUACCGGUGGCGAAGGCGGCAUCCUGGACCGGCAUUGACGCUGAACAGCGAAAGCUAGGGGAGCAAACGGG